GCGGGGUCCCGGCGGCGGGGACGGUUUCCCGGACGGUCCUCCGCUCCCGGGUACCGUGGUGUGUGUGUGUGCAGCGAGCGGGGCGGGGUCCUGGCCCUGGCGACCCCCGAGGGGACAGUUGCACAGGUGUACGAGGUCCCGCGGCUUUGCACUUGGCUUGGUAGCCCGGGAACCUGCAGCGACAGGCACCGCCACCACCGAGUUUGGCACUUUUUUUCCAGUAUAAAUACUGUGCCUAAAAUGGCUGACAUCAUAACAAGCCUAAACCUCUGUUGUUUCCUACUUUCGUUUCUAGGCUGAACAGCACUUGGACUAAGUCCAGCAACUGUAAGCAUCUUCAUUUUUUAAAAGCCCUUUUCUUUUACAAACUCCCUUGCCUACAAAUGGCCUUCGGUGUUGGCAGGUGAACACCUUGGGGUCUGGAGAGAGAAGACAACAGUAUACUGGGAGUAGUUUCUGGCUGGUGAUUUUAUUAUUGUAACAAAUAUUCCAGGUGAAAGUAAUUGCUAUUGUGGCUGUUCCCAUGUAACCCAACAGUUGACUUUUAUCAGCCUCUUUGUGGGUACUUCUGAAUAAGUGAAACUGGAACCAAAACAUAGGAAUUUGCUCCCAUCCCUACAAAAUAGGUAACCUUUGUGUUACCACAUCCCCGGUUAGCACUGAGUGAUGCUGUCACUGGAUUCAAUUUUUAAAAGUGAUGUACAGUAAUAUUCUUUUAAAUAUAAAUAUAAUUUUUGCCUAAGUUUUCUUUUUGCCUUUUUAGGGCUUCUGACAUUUGAUACCUAUGAAUACUAACAGCGGGUGCUGCUUCGUUUUUCACUAACACUUUUUAAUACCUAUUGUCACUUGGGUAAUUUUAGUUUUGACUUAAAAUCAGUCGUUUGUGUCCAUGGUACAAGUAGUAAGGAGAGUUUUUGUUUUUGUUUGUUUGUUUUUUAAUGAUCUAAUGAAAAUUACUGUAAAGAAACAGGCCACUAAUACCCUAUAAAAUUUUUGGAUAUAUAAUAGCAGUCUGGGCUGUUUGGACAUGUUUUCUGGAAACGUUCCAGCUAAAAGCAAACAUCAUGUUGAUUUUUUUAAAUGACUGUCUUCCCCUGAGAUGAGAGAGCUGAUUCCCUAAAAGGAUUAAGGGUUCUGGUUUUAGUAUUGUUUUCCUGAACCUAGUACAAACACUCUUGGUCUUGAAAACAUGUUUAGAAUUCACAGGUAAAAAUUGUCAUAGCAAAUUAUCAUAUCUCUUUUGUCCGGAUGCACAUUUUAAUCUAGAAUAGACCCAUAGUCAAGCACCCAAUCACAACAACUCUAUAUCUUGUUUGUGGAGACACCUUGAGUCUCCUCAAGCCCAGAUAGGCCUUGAACUCUGCCCUUCCUUCAUUUUCCUCCCCAAGUACUGGGAUUACAGGUGUGCACAGCCAUGCCCAGCUUCAAAUAUACAUUCUCACUGAUAUUAUAUAGGUAUAUGGUCUUUAAAUUCUAAAACUAUAACUCCUCCCACGCUAAGCAAGCAUCAAUGAUGUCAUUUCUCUGUUUUUUAUUCCAGGGUUGUAAAGGUUUCAAACUCUCAGACAAACGUCAGAAUUCACUUUGCAGGGGAGCUUUGAAUCAGUCUUGCCAUUUAUGAAGUAGCAGUCUUAUUUUUGAGCUCUUAAGGAUUUUUCAUAUGCUCACCAUAAUUUAAUUUUUAUUUCACAGUAACUGUCUAUAGCUGUACACUUUGCUUUUAUUUCUUAAUUUCUCUGAUUUCUCUAUCCAAAGGAAGAUACUUCAAUUAAGCAGUGAGGGCUUGUGUUCUUCUAUAGCCACACAGAAGUCACAGCUAAAUUGGUUUGGUUAAUACAGAGAGAGGG
rnacentral:lncRNA from 1 species